GACGAACGUUGGCGGCGUGCUUAAUACAUGCAAGUCAACUGAAGCAGUGGUAGCAAUAUCGCUGUGGAGGUGGCGCACGGGUGAGUAACACGUAGGUAAUCUGCCUUCAGGUCUGGCAUAACUCCGGGAAACCGGGGCUAAUAGCAGAUGAUGCAGCGGCUCGACAUCGAGACAGUUGUUAAAGCUAUGGCGCCUGAAGAUGAGCCUGCGUCUGAUUAGCUAGUUGGCGGGGUAACGGCCCACCAAGGCAACGAUCAGUAGCUGGUCUGAGAGGAUGAUCAGCCACACUGGAACUGAGACACGGUCCAGACUCCUACGGGAGGCAGCAGUAAGGAAUAUUGCUCAAUGGGAGAAAUCCUGAAGCAGCAACGCCGCGUGAGGGACGAAGGGCUUUUGCUUGUAAACCUCUGUAGUGAGAGAAAAAAAUCCCAAUCUUUGGGACAUGAUGGUAUCUCAAGAGUAAGCCCCGGCUAACUACGUG
rnacentral:rRNA from 1 species